GAUGAACGCUGGCGGCGUGCCUAAUACAUGCAAGUCGAGCGAACAGACGAGGAGCUUGCUCCUCUGACGUUAGCGGCGGACGGGUGAGUAACACGUGGAUAACCUACCUAUAAGACUGGGAUAACUUCGGGAAACCGGAGCUAAUACCGGAUAAUAUAUUGAACCGCAUGGUUCAAUAGUGAAAGACGGUUUUGCUGUCACUUAUAGAUGGAUCCACGCCGCAUUAGCUAGUUGGUAAGGUAACGGCUUACCAAGGGAACGAUGCGUAGCCGACCUGAGAGGGUGAUCGGCGACACUGGAACUGAGACACGGUCCAGACGCCUGCGGGAGGGAGCAGUAGGGAACCGUCCGCAAUGGGCGAAAGCCUGACGGAGCAACGCCGCGUGAGUGAUGAAGGUCUUCGGAGCGUAAAACUCUGUUAUUAGGGAAGAACAAAUGUGUAAGUAACUAUGCACGUCUUGACGGUACCUAAUCAGAAAGCCACGGCUAACUACGUG
rnacentral:rRNA from 1 species